GACAAACUUGUAGUCCUGCAUGUUCUCGUGACAGGAAGUUGAUUGUUUUAUUUUGAAAGUGUUUGCGGAAUUUGCAAUGCAUGAUGGGAAACUAGUAUCGCGUCUCAAUGAACGGAGUCAACAUUAUGUUUGUAGCUCUCCCACGCUUCAGAAAGCAAUCUUUUUUCACUCGGGAUCUCCGUGAGCCCUAAAAGUGUGAUCCUCCUGAAAGCCGACAAGAAGUAAACGCAUAGUGGGAACAGUGUGAAGGAUGCGGACGACACAACGGUAGUGGGCCUCAUCCAUGUGGUUGACUGGUGCAGAACCAACAACCUGGUCCCUGAACGUCGACAAGGCCAAAGAGAUCAUCAGUCGACUUCAGGAGCAUACUUGCCAACCCUCCCGGAUUUUCCGGGAGACUCCCGAAAACCUCCAGGGACAAAUUUUCUCCCGAAAAUCUCCCGAAAUUCAGGCGGACCUGGAGGCCACGCCCCCUCCACCUCCAUAUAAACAGCGACCCUACCCAAUGACGUUAUAACUGUAGAAUGAUCGAGGGCGAGUUCUUGGUUUCUUACGUUGGUUUAUUGUUAGGCAGUUUCCUUAACGUCCUCCCAGCGCGGCAACAACACACAACAACAGCAGUCACGUGUUCGUCCACCGUAAACAGCAAUGUUGUGACACUCUUAAACAGGACAAUAUUGCCAUCUACUGUACAUGCAUAUGUGACAGGAACAUCUAGGGCAACCUAUUUGGAAUACAGAGCUACUUCUUGACUACUGAUUAAUGUGAAGGGCUACCAGUUUGAUACACACUUAAAUAAAUUGCCAGAAACAGACAA